rnacentral:lncRNA from 1 species
UCUCUCUCUCUCUCUCUCAGAUCUCUCUCUCUCUCUCUCUCAGAUCUCUCUCUCAGAUUUCUGUCUCUCUCAGAUCUCUCUCUCAGAUCUCACACAACUAAUUUCAGUGAACUGGAAAAUGGAACAACUCUUCUACAUAAGCAUUUGUUUGUGAAAUUAUAACUAUGCAAGAGAAUUAUCUAAGAGAAGAAGAUUAAUUUAGUCUUUCCGAACUCAAAAGUUAUUUAAGGAGAAACUCAAUGGUUGAUUUUUCAAU